rnacentral:rRNA from 1 species
AUUGAACGCUGGCGGCAUGCCUUACACAUGCAAGUCGAACGGCAGCAUGAUCUAGCUUGCUAGAUUGAUGGCGAGUGGCGAAUGGGUGAGUAAUACAUCGGAACGUGCCCUGUAGUGGGGGAUAACUAGUCGAAAGAUUAGCUAAUACCGCAUACGACCUGAGGGUGAAAGUGGGGGACCGCAAGGCCUCAUGCUAUAGGAGCGGCCGAUGUCUGAUUAGCUAGUUGGUGAGGUAAAGGCUCACCAAGGCGACGAUCAGUAGCUGGUCUGAGAGGACGAUCAGCCACACUGGGACUGAGACACGGCCCAGACUCCUACGGGAGGCAGCAGUGGGGAAUUUUGGACAAUGGGCGAAAGCCUGAUCCAGCAAUGCCGCGUGUGUGAAGAAGGCCUUCGGGUUGUAAAGCACUUUUGUCCGGAAAGAAAUGGCUCUGGUUAAUACCUGGGGUCGAUGACGGUACCGGAAGAAUAAGGACCGACUAACUACGUG